rnacentral:rRNA from 1 species
UACGGAGGGUGCAAGCGUUAUCCGGAAUCAUUGGGUUUAAAGGGUCCGUAGGCGGAUAAUUAAGUCAGAGGUGAAAUCCCACAGCUCAACUGUGGAACUGCCUUUGAUACUGGUUAUCUUGAGUUUUAGUGAAGUAGAUAGAAUAUGUAGUGUAGCGGUGAAAUGCAUAGAUAUUACAUAGAAUACCGAUUGCGAAGGCAGUCUACUAACUAACAACUGACGCUAAUGGACGAAAGCGUGGGGAGCGAACAGG